AAGUGGAGGUUGCAGUGAGCAGAGAUUGUGCCACUGCACUCCAGCCUGGGCAACAGCGAGAUUCUGUCUCAAAAAAAAAAAAAAAAAGAAAUUUAAAAAAAGAAGAAAAAAGAAAAGAAUUUUGAAAAAUUUUCUGGUGCUCCCUUAGAAACCAUCACUAAAAAUUUCAUCUUUGCUUCUGCUUAUGGUAUUGAAAGCUUUUUGUUCAUAUCAGAAAUAUAUAUGCAGAGUUUUCUGUGGUAAGGAAUUGUGCUAAGAAGCAGGAGGGGAUAUAAACAUAUGUGAGACGUAUCUGUCAACUUAUCCUUUGAUGGGUUCCACCCAUACCACGGUUUCAAAGGAAAAUACUAUCAUCUCUGUGUUGCAAUGGCCGGGCAACAUCAUUCUGCCCAUGGUACCUCCAGUAAAUACAGAACAGAGCUGGAACUCUGCCUUUCACUCAAUUAAAGCCCCUUGUGGUUCAGAUGUUUACACAAUGGAAACUAACAAAGAAACCAAAGGCCAAACAGAGUGGUUGGGGCAGAAGGGUCUUUUAAUCCUGGGUCUGAGGACCAAUGUCCUAAAGGGAUAAAAGCCCACCCAAUGUCACCAGAGGCAGAAAUAGGAUGCAUGCUGCCUGUCACCCGAUGAUCAGAGACCAUAUAUUAUUCUCUCUGUUCAGAUCCAUCAUUGAGGUUUUUAUGAGAGAAGGCUGUCUUGAAGGAAUGCUUUAUCUCGGUUUGCACAUACUGCAAGUCAACCAGAGUUAGAGGGAGCUGCCAUGUUUGUGCUGGAAGUGAUAGAGCUGGGCUGCAGGGGGGUGGAGGAUGGGGGAGGUAGGAGAGCAGACGUCUAUUGAUUUGGUGUUUUAGCUAAUCGACCUAUGGUUUGGGACUCAGGAUGUGGUCAAGUGUUGUUAAGGCAUGUUCAGGAACAAUACUUGACCACAUUUUGAAUUCCAAACCAUAUUCUACAACUUUUUCCACAUAUUUGGUGUAAUCCUCCAUUUUCUAUUUUUGAGUUCGACAAAAAGGGGUCAAGAAAAUAUAAAUGCAUUUCGAGAGUUUUUUAGACCUCCAAAGGUCUUGAAGAAUAAUAUUUUGAGGAGUUAGGUAUAAAUAAUUCAGAAACAUAUGGAUAGAAUUUACUUCUACAUAUCAGAAUGUAACACAAAGUAAGGAGAAAUAUUUGACUGUACUCUGCUUGGUAGGGUCCCAGUGUUUGAAAGAAGUGCAGCCGCAUGAACCAUUCUGGGCUGCUUCCUGUCCCGCUUUUGUACGCAUCUCUCUCUCUCUUGCUUUCAAGCUGCAUGAACAUGUACUUAGACCUCAGGUAUAUUUUAAGGAAUAACAGCUGGUAGUUUGAGGGACCCAUACAUCCCUCACGUACGGCCAUAGAUGCUAUGUUCAGCAAAUAUGAACAAACACAGCAAAAAUCUAUGCUGUGCUCUCCGCCACAUCGAUGCUGGCUUUUCUAGCAUUCCAUCCAAUUCCAGCUUUCUGCUUGUCUCAGAAAUGGAUGGGGGUCAGGGGUGUGACAGGAAUAGCUUCAUAACUUGAGGAACCCAGUACAAAAUGAAAAUGUGGGCCCCUUGUUCAAUAAGUAUUAAGAAUGUUAGGAUGGCAACAGCAGAACGUUCGAAGAAGGCUGGGGAGUUUGGCCUAGGAAGCUGGCCCUGCGUGGUGAUGCCCUAAGGCAUUUUUUCCCCUCUAACAUUUCUUCUUUUUCUUUCUUUCUUUUCUUUCCUUCCUUCUUUCUUUCUUUCUUUCUCUUUCUUUCUUGAGAUGGAGUCUCACUGUGUUGCCCAGGCUGCAGUGCAGUGGUGUGAUCUCAACUCACUGCAACCUCUGCCUCCCUGGUUCAAGUGAUUCUCCUGCCUCAGUGGCUGGGAUUACGGGCGUCUGCCACCACCGCCUGGCUAAUGUUUGUAUUUUUAGUAGAAACAGGGUUUCGCCACGUUGCUUAGGCUGGUCUUGAACUCCUGACCUCAAGUGACCUUCCCACCUUGGCCUCCCAGACUACUGGGAUUACAGGCAUGAGGCAGCGUACCUGGCCGCCCUUCAACAUUUAUUUUGGCAAAUAAAAACAAGAUGAUGGCAGAAUAAUAAAUGUGAACACCGAUUUAAAAGGUAGUAUGGCCUGAGAAUGUAAUGGAAGGAUUUGGAUUUCCCAAGCACUGCUAACUAAAAUCAAGAGACAGGACCAGAUAUCAGCAAACAUUUCAAAAGGAAUCACCGUAUGGUGAAAAGAAAUGAAGCUGUAGACGGAACCAGUUGAGUUCUAAUUAGCAAAGAGGUAAGCAAUUCAGAAGAGUGGUGAGGCUACAGUUCUUGAGGCUAUUGUGCUAUUUGUUUUUUUUAAUAGAGACUCUAAGGAAAGCCAUUAAUGCAAAGAAAGGAAUUCUAUUUAAACCUGAUGGUGCUGUGUUGCAUUAGGUUGGUACAAAAGUAAUUGCAGUUUUUGCCAUUAAAAG
rnacentral:lncRNA from 10 species